UCCCCAGAGAAAACAUUUCAAUACAACGUCUUUCCUCUGCGUCUCUAGAAGAGACUUCUGUGGAGUGCGUAGAUAUUGCAGCACUCUGUUCAAUCAUCUGUUUAGAGUGGCUGUUAGCUGAACACUGUCUCAUUCGUUAUACAGUCAGUCAGUUCUUUCAGGAUGUUGGUGACAGUGGUUUACGAACAUGAAUGCUUUACUCUGCUAGUCUCCAAGUGGCUGCGAUCUGAGUUUAAUCAGGGCAACACGUUUUGAUAAAUUUGAACUGAAUGGAGAGAAAACAGAAGCAGCCAAGUUUGAAAGGGGCUUGCAGACUCCAUUUACAUGUACGCAGUAGUUGCUGCUGCGAAGGGUGAGAUAUACAUCUGUGGAACCGAGGCCGCCAGCAGAACCAUUGCCCAUACCACAGAUGAUACAUGAGUGAAUAUGGAGCAGCGGUGGAUUGAUACUGACAGGCGCAAACCGAAGGCCACGGAGUGAAAUCUGCCCCAGUGCCAAUUUGUCGACCACAAAUCCCACAUUCCACAUGGAAUGCCCCAGGAGUAAAUCCGGGCUCCGUGGUUUGAAACCGACGACUAACCUCGUGUUCACGGCCUUCUAGAGGUGUCAUCCUAAUGAGUUUUGUUUUUAUAAAAGCUGUUUUCUUUGAAUGCAGGUUAAAUCAAUAGAAGAUUCAUUAUAUAUUUGGCAUAAAUUUCCUUCAUGAAGCUGCAUACAAUACUUGAAUUCAAUGUUUUCCGUUAUCACUAUUAGCACUCUGAAGAAGAACAGAAAAUUGUGGUAGAAAAGUGAGAGGCACUUUAAUUCUAAUGGGGAGAAAGAACAUAUUUUUGUUAGAAGGUUCGCAGGCAAUGACAGCUCGUCUUUCAGAUAAGGAUAGAAUAAAAGUGAAGGAGUUAAUUUUAUAAAUAGGGACAACUUGAAAACAGAGACAACGGAAUUUUGAUUUGUUUGUUAGUGAAUGUUAGUAAAGUAAUUUAGUGGCUUCCACAGUAAGGAGGUGGGGGAUUUUGUUGAAUUGGAAUUGGCCUGACUGCAUGAGAAGUUAAAGCUCGCCUAAAUACUAUUUUACAUUCAGUUCGUACCUCAAAUAAAACGCAGAACCUGCCCAUUGCAGAGGCCAGAUCAUUUAAACAGUUCAAAUUCGCAUGGUUACAUGGAGCGAAUUAAUGUUAACAUACUACGAAAUUUAAAACGUUACAUAUUAAUUAAAUAAAGGCUGUCAGGUUUCUGCAAAAACGUUAUAAAAUAACAACAGUAAAAUUAUAGGAGUAAGAUUUACUAAGUUAUAGAAUUUAAAUGUGCGCCGCCUAGCACUACGAAUUGUUUUUAGAGUGCUUUAAAAUGUUGUGAUAACAUAAGCAUAAUAGACUUGUUGGCUGGGUAAACGCCUGAAUAAACCGUGCCUACCGACCCGCUUCUCAGCAGUGUCUGAAGAGUUGCAGCAUGCGCACGGCGCUUUGUCUUAUGUAAUCUGUUAAAAAACCGAAACAAAUCCACGUCUUUCAUUGCCCCCUAGUAAUCUAUACAUUAUUAUAAUUUAAAGACACGCCCUGUUUUCAUGAAACAUAGUAACAAUAAAAAUAUCUGGACUUAUUCCCUUCAUGACAGUUAAUAUUCCUACGAUGUUUCCCGGAAAUACGUUUCAGUACCGACAUUAUAUCCCGUCUAACUAAGGACAGCCGGUGGCGAAAAUUGGAAACUGUUUCUUGUUGGUUGGUGACGUAAACUAUACAGCAAUGCAGUUCUGCGCAUAUAGCCUCUCCCUUGCCCUCUCUACUCCCCUCUAGAGCCGAUAAACGACGUAAACUUAAUCGAGUGAACCUCCGACGAAUUAAGCAAUCGUAUCCAGACAUGAUAAAACUCAAGUUCUGUCUCUGUGCUUGCCAAAUGGUAUCUUUUCAAGGCAUGUUCCGCACAAAAUGACAGUCUUUUAUUUUCUACAUCCACGAUACAAGUUUUGUACAUUUAAAACCCAAGUUAAUUAUGAAACUUUGCCCCAUGUAUUUUUUGAAAUUAACCUCUAACUUCUUCUUUUGUCCAAUUUUUUUGCUCAAUAUUUCGAAUGAGGCAUUUUUAUAACUUGUCCUUUUCUCAGUGUGAGCGACCAAGUUUUACACUCAUACGAAAGUUUAAAGAAUUGUUGGUUUACACACUGUACUUAUUGCCAUAAUUUGAGGGGUAGUAAGAACUUCAAAACGUCUGUAAAAUUUUACCAGAGUGUGAACUCGCCGCCGUGGUAACCUGAAAUAACACUUUGAAGUUACAUUUUGGGUAGAGGACGAAAAGGUAAAUUUGAUAGCUUGAAGUGGGUUUAUUCUGUGAAACAUGACGUUCCCACGGCAACUAGUUUGAGUAUGACUGUCUUCUGGGUUGUUUCGCAGUCUAGUAUGGUAUAAGUUUACAGACUUUUCAGAGGUGAUACUGUCUCCAUCAUCAGGGCUAUAAGAAAAUCGGCAAGUACCUCUUAAACGUCGCUAAACGUCUACAAUACUGUACCCAGUCAGUCACAUUCACUGACUUUAUUCUGUUCGAAGUUCAGGCCGUAAUAACACGAAUGUUAUAGUGGCCUCUGGUAUACGUACAGUAUUAUGUACAGUAGAUAUAAAAUGUAGUGAAGAAAUUGAAUAGGCCUAUUGUAUUUAAAAAUAUAAAAGAGAGGUAUAUCUGAUUUAAGUUUAUUUAAACCUGUAUAAUAAUUUCAGUUUAAAGUUCAAUGUAUGUUCAACCAAAAUGCCAUUUAUUGAACGGUUCUGUAGGGUUGAGAACGUAAAUUAAUCACGGUUGUAUAUCCGUAUAUUUCUGUGUUCUCAUUCAUAUUUAGUAAUUAAAAUUUCGUAAGCAUCAACAAUUCCAUUCA